rnacentral:lncRNA from 1 species
UAUUAAAAUUGAAUAUUUUUAUCAACUUUCUUAUAUUUAUAUUACUGUUUUUCAAAGUUAUUUUAUAAAUUUUAAAUUCUGAUUCUGUAAAUAAUACAUAGGUUAAAAGACAGACAUUUCAGACAAGAUUGGGUAUGUUCAGGGUGAUAUGGCCCUAGAACAAAAAUUAAAAAAAAGAAGAAGAAAAAAACAUUUUAAAGGACAAAGAGAAUGGUAAGGAAUUGUAUUAGGAUAGGCCAUAACAGAUCAUCACAAAAUCUUGUGAUUUAAUCAACAGAGAUAUUUUUCUUGCUCGUGUGAGUUUUGCUCCACACACAGUAACUCAAAGACCCAUCUGAGCUGUACCUUGUAGAAUGUAUGGUCUGUCUACUCCAUAUGGUAGGAAGAGAGGACACUGAAGGGCAUCUCUUCUGUAGUUAGAUGCUUUGAUCACAUGAGUCACCUCAUUGUGGGAUCAGCACUAUAAUCCACAUCAAAGGAGAAAAAUGAAAAUCACCUAUCCCAUACACUGAG